AUCCUUCUUGACAUGACAGCAGUGAGAAUUGAGCAAAGGGGGAAAUCCCUUAUAAAGCCAUCAGAUCUUGUGAGAACUUCUAUCUUAAGAAUAGCAUGGAGGUAACAACCCCCAUCAUUCAAUUACCUCCCACCCAGUCUAUCCCAUGACAUGUGGGGAUUAUGGGAACUACAAGAUGAGAUUUGGGCAGAGACACAUCCAAACUGUAUGAAUAUCCAAAUAUACCUUGGUCAUCUACCAAAACAUUUGGCCCUUUGAAGGUGAAGAAGGAAGAGGAGCAGGGGAAGAAGAACACUUUUGGAGCCCUCACUAGCAAAGCAUUUACUUUGCGCAUCUAAUUCUCAUAGCAACCCCGCAGGUGCUGUUAGGUGUAAUGGGGAUGGAAGAGAAGGCACCUGAGUCCUGUUAUUGUCGGGAGCCCAGCGGGUGCCUGGGGACCAAGACUGGUGGAAGAUCUAUCAUUCAGAUGAAGCUCAGGUUUGGUGGUUGAGGCACAUUCUUCCUGGAGGGUCGUGCACUGGGUAAGAUGACUCUCCUUCACCUUUUUUUCAUCCUUGG
rnacentral:lncRNA from 13 species